rnacentral:rRNA from 1 species
UACGUAGGGGGCAAGCGUUGUCCGGAAUCAUUGGGCGUAAAGCGCGUGUAGGCGGCCCGGUAAGUCCGCUGUGAAAGUCGGGGGCUCAACCCUCGAAUGCCGGUGGAUACUGUCGGGCUAGAGUGCGGGAGAGGCGAGUGGAAUUCCUGGUGUAGCGGUGAAAUGCGCAGAUAUCAGGAGGAACACCGGUGGCGAAGGCGGUGGUCUGGGCCGGAACUGACGCUGAAUAGCGAAAGCGUGGGUAGCGAACAGG